AGGGAAUCUUCCGCAAUGGACGCAAGUCUGACGGAGCAACGCCGCGUGAGCGAUGAAGGUCUUCGGAUCGUAAAGCUCUGUUGUAAGGGAAGAACAAGUACCAUUCGAAUAGGGUGGUACCUUGACGGUACCUUACCAGAAAGCCACGGCUAACUACGUGCCAGCAGCCGCGGUAAUACGUAGGUGGCAAGCGUUGUCCGGAAUUAUUGGGCGUAAAGCGCGCGCAGGCGGUCUUUUAAGUCUGAUGUGAAAGCCCCCGGCUCAACCGGGAGGGUCAUUGGAAACUGGGAGACUUGAGUGCAGAAGAGAAGAGUGGAAUUCCACGUGUAGCGGUGAAAUGCGUAGAGAUGUGGAGGAACACCAGUGGCGAAGGCGACUCUUUGGUCUGUAACUGACGCUGAGGCGCGAAAGCGUGGGGAGCAAAC
rnacentral:rRNA from 1 species